GGAAUAUUGGUCAAUGGGCGAGAGCCUGAACCAGCCAAGUAGCGUGCAGGAUGACUGCCCUAUGGGUUGUAAACUGCUUUUAUACGGGGAUAAAGUCAGAGUCGUGACUCUGUUUGCAGGUACCGUAUGAAUAAGGACCGGCUAAUUCCGUGCCAGCAGCCGCGGUAAUACGGAAGGUCCGGGCGUUAUCCGGAAUUAUUGGGUUUAAAGGGAGCGCAGGCCGACUGGUAAGCGUGACGUGAAAUGUAGCCACUCAACGGCUGAACUGCGUCGCGAACUGUCAGUCUUGAGUGAGUUCGAUGUUGGCGGAAUUCGUGGUGUAGCGGUGAAAUGCUUAGAUAUCACGAAGAACUCCGAUUGCGAAGGCAGCCAACAAGGCCUUUACUGACGCUAAAGCUCGAAGGUGCGGGUAUCGAACA
rnacentral:rRNA from 1 species